CUCUGAAAUUCUUGCUCCAACACCAUUGUUUCAAGUAAGAUUCGGGUAUAUUCAAGUGCAAGAACUCAUCCUAGAGUUCAAUCUCGGGUUUGACACUUUGGUAAAAGUUUUGACAACCCAAGAGACUAAGAUAAUAAGAGGAUUGGUGUGUAGAAGUUGCUUUCAAGGUGGUGACAACCUGUAACAUAUUCGCCAUUAUAGGACUUCACAAUCUCUGGAAAAGUUCGGUUGAAACGAUCUGUCACUUCUUCUCGGGCCUGUAGAUGAAAUGGAUGAGGCCAACACCCUUGAAUAGCCCAUACUGCGUCUUUUGCUUGGUACCAGGAAACUAUUAAAGAAUUCUGCCGAAAUCCCUAUAACAUUGUUUUGGUCUGUAAUCUUGAAACAACACAUCAUGAAUCAAAAGUCAUGGA